CCUACGGGAGGCAGCAGUGGGGAAUAUUGCGCAAUGGGCGAAAGCCUGACGCAGCGACGCCGCGUGAGGGAUGAAGGUCUUCGGAUCGUAAACCUCUGUCAGCAGGGAAGAACGGUCACUGUGCUAAUCAGCAGUGAAUUGACGGUACCUGCAAAGGAAGCACCGGCUAACUCCGUGCCAGCAGCCGCGGUAAUACGGGGGGUGCGAGCGUUACUCGGAAGUACUGGGCGUAAAGCGCUCGUAGGCGGUAUGUCAAGUCAAGGGUGAAAUCCCCGCGCUCAACGGGGGAACUGCCUUUGAAACUGGCAAACUGGAGUGUGUGAUAGGAUAGUGGAAUUCCAGGUGUAGGAGUGAAAUCCGUAGAUAUCUGGAGGAACAUCAGUGGCGAAGGCGACUAUCUGGCACAUAACUGACGCUGAGGAGCGAAAGCGUGGGUAGCAAACAGGAUUAGAUACCCGAGUAGUC
rnacentral:rRNA from 1 species